GGCAAGAUGGCCGAGUGGUCCAAGGCGCUGUCUUCAGGUGGCAGUCCGAAAGGGCGUGGGUUCGAAUCCCACUCUUGUCA
rnacentral:tRNA from 1 species